CCUACGGGAGGCAGCAGUGGGGAAUAUUGCACAAUGGAGGCAACUCUGAAGCAGCGAUGCCGCGUGCGGGAGGACGGCUUUCGGUAUGGAAAGCUCUAUCAGCAGGGGAGAAAAUGACGAUACGUGAAUAAGAAGCACCGGCUAACUACGUGCCAGCAGCCGCGGUAAUACGUAGGGGGCAAGCGUUAUACGGAUUUACUGGGUGUAAAGGGAGCGUAGACGGCUAAACAAGUCAGAAGUGAAAACCCAGGGCUCAACUUUGGGACUGCUUCUGAAACUGAGGAGCUAGAGUGCAGGUGGGGUAAGCGGAAUGCCUGGUGUAGCGGUGAAAUGCGUAGAGAUUA
rnacentral:rRNA from 1 species